ACGUUGGUGAUUCGCUUCUUUCGAAAGAGAGAUAGAGAGAGUAAGAGAGAGAAAGGUGAGAAAGAGAGAAGGAUGAAUGUGUGUGCGCGUGCGAGCGCAUUCGCGUGUAACCAAAGCUCUCGACGACGCGAAACGGAGAUUUUCGAGAUGAAGUUUCUCGCGUAAGGAAUGUGUUAAAGAGGGAAAGAGUGUGUGUGAGGGAGAGUAAGAGAGAGAGAAAGAGAAAGAUACGGCACGUGGCAAUUCGCGCGUUUUUCGCGACUGAACUUGGAUAAAGAGAAGGAAAAGAGAAACGAGAUGAUAAAAGGGACGCCGGCGUCGGGCAUCCAGAAAUUAAUUAGAUGCACAGAUAUAAUUUUCGGUUGUUACGUAUGUGUGUAGUAGACGUCAUACGCCAGUAUCAUACUUUUUACAUGGAGAAAUCUGUUUUUUUAGCCGGUCAAUCGAUUCAUUGAUAACAUAAAUAACGGCUGUAUACUAUAUAUAUACAUAUAUGUGUGUGUCCCUUCGACAUCUUCAUAUUCUCUUCCUACUCAUUUCUCCCUUUUCUCCCCACUCUUGUCUAUUCAAGACAGCUUUAUGAUCCGGUUUACAGAGGGAAGAGAGGCCACCUGUAAAGUUUAUUCUCAAUGAUUAACUAGUAGUAUCGGAAAUAUCACCGUACCACGAAGUUACCUUGUACAUAUAGUCUGUUGUUGUCCUUUGCGAAUGACGUUUCCCUCCUUUCCAGCGUCCUUCAACCCUUCGAUAGUUCCUCCCCCGCUCGUCUAUUCCGUUUAUCCUUGCAUUACACACACGAAUCAAGAGAGAGAUACCGUACUAGCGUACUGUGAAACGAGUCAUAUCGUGCAUCGUUCGUUGUCUACUAUUUGUCUCUUAUCCUCUCUAUUCGUUGUGAGUGAGAGAAAGAGAGUGAGUGAGAAAGCAAGAGAGAGAGAAUGAUCUGCGUACUCUCCCCGUGUGAGUACGAUUCAUAUUUAUAUAUAACUAGUCGUCACACACACGUACACAUAUACAUAUACACAUAAUAAUUAUGAGAUAAUUUAUAUAUAAAAUACGUUUUUCUCAUCGAUCGCGCCGUGACGGGCCAAUUGGAGGAGACGGUAUAUAUCAUUUAUAUACAUAUAUAGUUUCUUUAUAUCCGCGGUAAAAUUUACGUAUUUUCGUGUGAGAAAUAUUUCUCUACAUGUAUAUACGUGAAACAAAUCGGACGUGUCCAUCAUCGCGGUGACGCUGCAUCCGCAUGCGAUCAACUUCCGAUUAUUACGAUUUCCCUUGCACAGCAUUUCAUUCCCGAUGAUGUUGUUACUUGCAUUAUCUCGGUGGAUAAUGCAAAUGUUAAUUUUUUUAAGAUGAGUGUGCAAACGUACAGAGAGAGGUACUUGUCAUUUCGAAUCAUUUAAUACGAAAGAAAGAGAGCCCAAGUGAUAUCAUAUUCCGGUUACUAUUAGCAUAGGAAUAUUUUCAACUUUCGAUUAUUAUUACGGUUUCUUUUGCACAGCAUGUCAUUCUCGUUGAAAAUUAACGUUUGCAUUAUCUUCCAAAAUAAUUGCAAAUAUUAUCUUGGAAGAUAAUGCAAACGUUAAUUUUCUAAAAUGAAUGUGCAAACGUACAGAGAGAGAGAGAGAGAGGUGCUUCACAUUUCGAAUCAUUUAAUACGAAAGAGAGCCCAAUGAUAUCAUAUUUCGGUUCUUAUUGGCAUAAGAAUAUUUUCAACUUCCGAUUACUAUUACGGUUUCUCUUGCCCAGCAUUUCCGAUGAUGUUUUUAUUUGCAUUAUCUUCCAAGAUAAUUCAAAUAUUAUUUUGGGAGAUAAUGCAAACGUACAGAGAUACUUGUGUCAUCUCGAAUCAUCGUAUACGAAAGAAAGAGUCCAAUAAUAUCAUAUUCCGGUUACUGUUGGCAUAGGAAUAUUUCCAACUUUCGAUUACUAUUACGGUUUCUCAGCAUUUCCGAUCAUUUUUAUUUACAUAUUAUCUUGAAAGAUAAUGUAAACAUUAAUUCUCUAAGAUGAAUGUGCAAACAUACAGAGAAAUACUUGUCAUCCCGAAUCGUAUAUAUAGGGAAGAAAGAGAACCCAGUAACACGAUAUCAUAUUCCAGUUACUCUAUUGGCAUAGGAAUAUCUUUAUUACAAUAUCAAUAUUGGAAGACACGAGGAGCUAUCAAGAGCUGUAAACAGUUUAAAUCGCGUUAACAGCUUCCUCGUAAACCGCGGGUGUAAUCGUCGAAAUAUCAUCGUGUCAUGAGACUCUUAAAUCCUUUCAAGUUUUACUAUCAUUUUCAAUAAAGUAUAACUGCGCGAUUAGCGAUCUCGACGACCAGAAACAAAAAAAAAAGAAUACAUCGGCAGAAGAGUAUCGGCG